rnacentral:rRNA from 1 species
CCCGCUGAACUUAAGCAUAUCAAUAAGCGGAGGAAAAGAAACUAACAAGGAUUCCCUUAGUAACGGCGAGUGAAGAGGGAAGAGCUCAAAUUUUGAAUCUGACAUCUUCGAUGUCAGAGUUGUAAUCUAGAGAAGUGUUUUCCGUGAUGGACCAUGCAUAAGUCUCCUGGAAUGGAGUGUCAUAGAGGGUGAGAAUCCCGUUUAUGGCAUGGACUCCCAUUGCUCUGUGAUACACUCUCAACGAGUCGAGUUGUUUGGGAAUGCAGCUCCAAAUGGGUGGUAAAUGCCAUCUAAAGCUAAAUACUGGCGAGAGACCGAUAGCAAACAAGUACCGUGAGGGAAAGAUGAAAAGCACUUUGAAAAGAGAGUGAAACAGUACGUGAAAUUGUUGAAAGGGAAACGCUUGAAGUCAGUCACACCGUUCAGGAUUCAGCCUUGCUUCUGCUUGGUUUACUUCCUGUUGGGUGGGUCAACAUCAGUUUCCAUCAGAGGAAAAAGGCUUCGGGAAGGUGGCAGCAUUCGUGCUGUGUUAUAGCCCUUUGCUGUAUACUUUGAUAGAGACUGAGGACUGCAGCACGCCUUCUGGCUGGGGUUCGCCCACAUACGUGCUUAGGAUGUUGGCAUAAUGGCUCUAAGCGACCCGUCUUGAAACACGG